UACGUAGGGGGCAAGCGUUAUCCGGAUUUACUGGGUGUAAAGGGAGCGUAGACGGAGCAGCAAGUCUGAUGUGAAAGCCCGGGGCUCAACCCUGGGACUGCAUUUGGAACUGCUGAGCUAGAGUGUCGGAGAGGCAAGUGGAAUUCCUAGUGUAGCGGUGAAAUGCGUAGAUAUUAGGAGGAACACCAGUGGCGAAGGCGGCUUGCUGGACGAUGACUGACGUUGAGGCUCGAAAGCGUGGGGAGCAAACAGG
rnacentral:rRNA from 1 species